AAAAUGGCGAGUCACAGUCAGCAAUGUUCGAUCGAAAGGCGCGGCUUCCGACAGGAGCUCGACUCUUGGAGACAUAAACUUAUUCACUGCGGUUUGAAAGCAUUUUGGAAGGGCUGUUUGGAAGUAAACUUCUAAAAGAUAUCAGCCUGUUUGAAGAUUUCCAUGUUUUUGGAGGAGGGAAAGGAGACUAGCAUCCUUAGCAUGCCAAUUAUUCUUUAUUUGUUGUUGGGAUGUAAGAGUCUUGAGGAAGGCCAGCACUUAUUGUCCAUCUAUAAUUGCACUCAUGAAGGUGGUUGUGAAUUACCACCUUGAGUCACUGCAAUGUGUGUUCUAGGUACACCUACAUUGCUGGUGAAAAUAUAAACAUUUUGGUUAUGUGCUGUAAAGGAAAUUGGCAGGGAAUGAAAACCCUUAAAAUUUACCCUUUUUUUGGAGCAAUAUUCUAAGUAUAGUCAUGACAACAAGUGCAACAUAGGCAAACAUACGUUUUAUUCAUUGAAAAUAAUAUUUAUGAAACACAAGCAAAUGAACUAAACAGUAAGGUUCAAUUUGGAAAGAGCCUUAUUGGGAAUAUGAAGCCAUGUAAUGCAAGUUUUUGUUUAAAUGCUUUGCCUUAAACAAUUUCACAAGCAGUUCAACUGGUCUUUUGUCAUAAAGUUUUUUGUGUACAUUUUUGUUGAUUUCAUCUGAGAAAAGGAAGAUAUUCUCAUCUUGGACAAGUUGGUUGCUCAUUAUUGCUGUCACAUUGACACAGGAAUUGUAUGUUGUAUGGAACAAGCAGGGAAAAUAUUAAAUCUCUGUCUACAUUACUGCAGGUGAAGACAACUGCAGAUAUCUGUAGACUGGCCUCUGGUUAUUUUUCAACCUAAGAUAUUUAUAGGCCUCUCUGUUUAAUGUUUUUAUCAUUUGGAUUUGAUGUGCUUGAAUGAUGAGGAGCAAAGGGGUCCCCAUUGUCUUUGGUUGGAUUGUGCUCGGUAUUUAAUUAGAGAAACAAUGUAAAUUGUUUAAUCAUUUAAAAAAUAUUACAAAGAUUGAAAAAACCGGCAUUAUAUUGCUAAAGGAUCCCAUUGUCUUAUGUUAUUACUGAUCUUUGUCAGAUCAAAUGGAUUUUUAAAAAGGACACCUAAGAUACAACAGAGAUAUUUCAAAAAUUUGACUAAGCAAAUGUUAUUUUGCAAUUAUGGUAUGGUUCUGUUGAUCGAUUCAUUCAUAUUUGGACUUAAAG